rnacentral:rRNA from 1 species
GAUGAACGCUGGCGGCGUGCUUAACACAUGCAAGUCGAAGGGAAACCUUUUAUUGAAGGCUUCGGCAGAUUUAGCUGGGUUUCUAGUGGCGGACGGGUGAGUAACGCGUGGGUAACCUGCCUUAUACAGGGGGAUAACAACCAGAAAUGGUUGCUAAUACCGCAUAAGCGCACAGGACCGCAUGGUCCGGUGUGAAAAACUCCGGUGGUAUAAGAUGGACCCGCGUCUGAUUAGCUUGUUGGUGAGGUAACGGCCCACCAAGGCGACGAUCAGUAGCCGGCCUGAGAGGGUGAACGGCCACAUUGGGACUGAGACACGGCCCAAACUCCUACGGGAGGCAGCAGUGGGGAAUAUUGCACAAUGGGGGAAACCCUGAUGCAGCGACGCCGCGUGGAGGAAGAAGGUCUUCGGAUUGUAAACUCCUGUUGUUGAGGAAGAUAAUGACGGUACUCAACAAGGAAGUGACGGCUAACUACGUG